GGUUGGACAAAUAUAUGUUUGAUUCCAAGAGAAAUUCAGGUUUCUGGGGUGGGAAACU
ncrna:unclassified sequences DTF1646 RNA